rnacentral:rRNA from 1 species
UACGUAGGGUCCGAGCGUUGUCCGGAAUUAUUGGGCGUAAAGGGCUCGUAGGCGGUCUGUCGCGUCGGGCGUGAAAACUCAGGGCUUAACCCUGAGCCUGCUUCCGAUACGGGCAGACUAGAGGUAUGCAGGGGAGAACGGAAUUCCUGGUGUAGCGGUGAAAUGCGCAGAUAUCAGGAGGAACACCGGUGGCGAAGGCGGUUCUCUGGGCAUUACCUGACGCUGAGGAGCGAAAGUGUGGGGAGCGAACAGG